rnacentral:lncRNA from 1 species
UGAAGGCUUCAUUCAUACAUGCUACCGUAAUUCAAAGAUAACUUGAGUUACAAAAGUCCAAUUGAUGUGAUUCUUAAUCCAUUGGAAAGAUGAGAAAAGGUACUAAAACUUUCAUGUUUACCACUUUACCCAGUUCAAAUCAGAUCGAGAUGAAAAUCAUGUUGGAAGAUGAUGGAUGAAUGUAUUUCUGCACAAGGCAGCAUGGUGAUUGGAAGCUACGGUUACUCAUGGUCGUGGUGUUGAGGAAGCUAGAGCCUUAGCACUGGGAAAAACAUGGUUGUGGUGGUGGAUGGUUGAGGUGCAUCAUACUUUGGCCCAAGGUCAGAAUGCCACGGUGUGGAACAAGUAUAGUCACGAUGCCACUAAUG